GGAGGGGCGGCGGGAUUGACAGUCGGUAAUUGGGUAACUGGAGGCGGCUUCUCAGGCCGGGCGGCCCCGCCACCGCGACGCCGAGCCCCUGACGUCACCCGAUUCGCCAGGAAAUGAACUUUUUAAUAAUCCGAGGAGGGAGGAAAGCCCUCCGUCCCCUCCGCUCCGGGGGCGCCCGGCUGGGCCCAGCUCCGCGGGCGCGCCCCCGUCACCCCCUCCCCGGCCAGCUCAGGGCAGCGCCGAGUGGGCGCUGGCUCAGGCUGGGGCUUCCUCCUGCUUCUGCGUCUGGCGUCCGUUUGUCUGUCCGAGGCCCAAACGCAGGUAAACCGCGGGGCUUGGGGGGGGCGCAGAGCUCCACUGUGCUGGGAACCAGCGUGUCUAGUGCCCUGGGGGACCUGCCUGCCGGAGCCGCCUGCUGAUCCUCCCGCUCCCCUCCACUCCGGGGCGAGCGGAGUCGGGUCUGCUCCGAAUUCCACUCCGCGGGAACGGAGGCCUGCGCCAGCCGGGAAAGGCGCGCGAGGCGGGAGGGAGAGCGCUAGGUCCCCGGCGCCGGGCCUCCGCGGCCAGGCCCGGCAGCUUACGAUUCUUCAUCAACGCGUAAAAUGAGAUCGCAGCGGAACUCGAGCCUAUUUGGCGUCUCCGGAGCCUAGCAGGACCCUUUGAAAGACACCGCGGCCCCGGGGAUAAUCCCCCGCGUCCAGCAAAGCUGCCCGGCUCGAGCGCGAACCCUGGGACCCAGCGCGGGAGGCAGACCUGCAGCUGUCCGCUGGGCUGUGAACGCCAGGGCCGAGCGGAAGCUUCCCGCCCGGCCGCGAUCUGCGCGGCGGCUCGCAGGGAAGUGUCUGCACACCGCCCCCGGAAAAGCAGAUUAUCGGAGCCCUUUCAGAGAGCGCACAACAAAUGCGCCCGCCAUCGAAUGCAUCAUUUACCACCGCAGAUCCGCGCGCUGAUGGGCAGGCAGAUAGCCGUCCGCUGGGGGCACGCGGGCGCCCCGUGCCCGAACCACCCGCCUGCCUGCCAGGGCCACGGAGUGUGUGCCCCUGUGUGCCCGGCGUGUUUGGACGGACACGUGGGUGUGCCAGUGCAUGGACUAACGCCGAUGCGAGUGUGCGGGUGUGUCAAACAAGUGUGCCACAAAAAAGUGCACAUGUGCGAGUCCAUUCAUGCACAUGCAUGGCGGUCGUGUGUGUGCUGAGUGCCCGAAGGUAACCGAUGAGGCGGUUGGAGGGUGCACAGGAGGCGGUGUUGCACUGAGCAUGUGAGCAGGCAUGCGGCCCAGGGUGGCUGGACACGUGGUGGAGGAAUGGGAGUGCAAGCCCGCGUGUCCGAGUGCAGAGGAUGAGCGUCCUGCCAGUGCCUCACUGUGUCUGCCCUGGAGGUGGCUGUUUAGGAGGGCACGCUGGAGGCCACUAGGGUCGAUGUGCGGUGUGUAUGCAGGUGCCCACCCUGAGUUGUGUUUCAGGGCACACAAGCUUCCUGUGCCUGCUGGAGGUGAACGUGCAGGUGUCAGUGCUCCCUCUGGGCGUGAUUGUGAUGUGCUCGGGUCUGCAUGAGGCUGUGUGUCCUGCUGUAUCUGCCCAGGUGUGCCCAGGUGAGCUGCGUGAGGGGCACGGGGGAACUGCAGUAGUUGGGGCCUGUCCGUGUGCCAGCGUGAGUAGACUCUGGGCUGGGGAAGCGACAGGGAAUGGUGUGUGCGCUUGUGACAGACGCCAGAGCGGCCAGGUGGAACGUGCUGUGUCACAGGAGACUUUUUGGCAGAAAACGAAGUGUGCGAGUGUAGGAGGAGGGGCCGUCCACGGAGUUUGGGGACACCCGGGGGUCCGAGCCCCAGAGCCUCCCCGCCGGAGCUCUGCAGCUGGGGCAAGGAAGCCCGAACCCGCCGCCUGAGGUCCCCAUGCCGUGAGUGACACGCGCCGCCGACAAAGGCUGUAUUUUUCCAGGCUCGCACCCCGCCCGCGUGCGCGCGAUGGUCCCCAUGGCGACGCAGAUAGCGCCGCAGCCAUUUUCCCUAUCUCCACGGAGUCUAUUAUACUGCGGGAUUAGCUCAUCUCCAGGCAGGUCAAACCCAAAGUCACACAACCUGCGACGCGAGCCCCGCCCCCGCUCCCCGGCCGCCCCUCCCC